UAAAGGGGAUAUUUUUGAUCUGGAUAGUUCUGAGUCAACAAGUUGAAAUACCUUAGGGUUCAAAAAAUUCUGCCUGUGGACUAAGGACCAGCAUCUAAGGGUUUCCAGGCUGGCCUUCCUGACAGCCUGCACUGUGCAUUCCAGACCCACCUAUCUCACCCCAUAAUUGUGUAAGUCAAUUUCUAGCAAUCCAUCAAUUAAUGAUCUAAGAGUUCUCUGACAGAACUGAUACUAAAACCCCCUGACAAAAUCUUGCAUCCCUUAUGAGUUGAUCCAAAAGGAAACAUAUUUAUCAGGUUUGGUAACCAAAAUUCCUGAGCCAAUUCAAGCAGUUGAUAAGAUUCUAUGGACCAGAGAGAUAUUACAGUGGCCAGGGAGCUUGCCUCAAACACGGAUGACCUAGGUCCUAUUCCCAGGCACCUUAAAUGAUCCCCCAGGUAUUGCUAGGAGUGACCCCUGAGUAUAGAACCAGAAGUAAGCCCUAAGCACAGUCGGUGUGCCCCCACCACCUGAAAAAAAAAUUAUGAAGGAAUUAAUUGGUCAGGCCAAGGCAAUAUCAGAAAUUUUAUUUCAGGGAGGACAUACCUUCAGAUGUUCAUCCUUUCAUGUUUAUUAAAUUAUAAUACACUGAAAUGUUAAUUUAAAAUCUCCUCUACCAGUUGUCUUUGAAAGGAACAUAAAAUCUUAUACAAUAAUAACUUCUGAAGAAAACUCAGUGACUGGGAAACAAGAAUGGAAUGGACAAUUUUUACUUUUUCUAUUUUUGGAACAUUGAAUCAUGAAAUGUAUCGCCUAAAUUAAAGGUUGGCAAACUAUAAUCCACAGCCCAGAUCUGGUCUUGUCUGUUUAAAGUUUUAUAAAUAGGGGACCAGAGUGAUAGUACAGCCACAGGGCAUUUGCCUUGCCUAUGGCCAACCCAGAGUCAAUCUCCGCAUCCCAUAUGGUCUCCCACUAACCGCCAGGAGUAAUUCCUCAGUGCAGGGACAGGAACAACCCGUAAGCAUCACCAGGUGUGACCCAGAAAGAAAAAAAAGGUUUUAAAAACAUACUUUUUUUUUUUUUUGCAUGGGGGAACCCCUUGGGCCAUAUAUGACUGUACUCAGGUCUUACUCCUGGCUCUGUGUUCAGGAAUAUUACUCCUGGCAGUGGGGGAUCAUAUAGGGUGCCAGGGAUGGAACCUGGGUCAGCUGAAUGCAAGGCAAGCUCCUUACUUGCCGUAUUAAUCCUCCAUCCCAUAUUUACAUAAUGCUUUUGGCAGCUUUCUCUUUGGAAAGGUAGGGUUCAGUAAUUGUCACAAUAUACACUACAUACUUGAUGUCAUAAGAUCCACAAAUCCUAAAAUAUUUACUGACUCCCUUUAUGAGGGAAAAAAUUAUCAACUUUGAUAUUUUAAGUAAAUUAGGGUGUGGAGUUUUUUUGUUUUGUUUUUUGUUUUUUGCUUUGAGGGCUACACCCAGCUGCUUAAUCCCAACUGCACUCAGGGAUCACCCCUGGCUUGCUCUGGGGACCACAUAUGGAGUGCUGGGAACUGAAUCCAGGUCAGUCACAUGCAAGUCAAGUUCCUUAUCUGUUUGACUAUCACUCCUGCUCAUAAACUAUAGCUUUUUGUUUUGGAGCUACACCUGGCAGUGCUCAGGAGCUACUUAUGGCUCAUUGCUCUGUGCUUAGGGGACCACAAGCUUCCAGGAUCCAGCCUUGGCCUCCACAUGUAAAGCAAGCACUCCAGUUGAUUUCUCUCUCCAGCCUGAAAAUUGGCAUGCUUUUUUUGUGGGGAGGAGGGAUUUCGAAGAGGUGGAUAUGGUGGUGGGGGAGGGAGUCUGGUUUUGGUUUUUGAGCCACAUUGGGUUGUAGUGCUUACUUCUGGCUCUCAGGAAUUACUCCUGGGGGGUUUUAGGAGACCACAUGGGUUCUGGAAAUUAAACCAAUGUCAGCCAUGUGCCAUCCUACCAGCUAUACUAUCUCUCCAGCCCUAAAUUUACAUUUUAUAGAAAGCUGUUCCAAGAGAACUGAAGACAUGUCUGCACAGAAAUUGUGAAAACUAAAUGUCAAAUAAUGAAUAAAAAAAUGUGCUAUAUCCAAAUAAUGGAUCAUCAUUUGGCCAGAAAAAGUAAUGCAGUAGUUAAAUGCUAUAAUACAUUAGUCUUAAAAACAAAAUGCUCCAAGAGUAGUGCACCACAUUUGAUGGGGUUUAUAGAAGGCAACCAAGCUCAGAAAUAUACUUUUACAUAUAAGCACACAAGGCUCAAGCUUUAACAACAUAUUAGUAACUCUUAUAGAAGGGCUUAAGGGCCCCUGGGUGAAAUUCAAAAAUCUUCAUACACUCUCCUCUAAGGAAAGUUCUUAGGACUAUUUUCAGCAGUUUAUUCAUAAUAAUACAGAAUAAAUUAUUUCAGCUCUGCCUUGGCCAGGGGUUAGGGUUCGGGAUGGAAGACCCAAAAUAUGGUGGUGAUUGGGGGCUGUAGCAAUAGUACAGCGGGUAGGGCGUUUGCCUUGCAGAUGCCAACCCAGAUUCGAUUCCCAGCAUACCAUAUGGUCCCCCAAGCGCCGCCAGGAGUAAUGCCUGUGUGGAGAGUCAGGAGUAACCCCUGUGCAUCACCAGGUAUAACCCAAAAAGCAAAAAACUAUAUAUAUAUAUAUAUAUAUAUAUAUAUAUAUAUUGUGGUGGCAAGCUGUAAUGGUGGUGGGAUUGGUAUUCAAAUAUUAAAUGUAAUCAAAUAUUGAGAACUACUUUAUAAAAAUAAAAUAAAAAUUAAAAAACACCCAUAAUGCUAAGAGCAUCACAGUCUGAGAUAAGAAGACCCCUUCAAACACAACUAAAUAUGUGGGCAUACAGGUGUGUGACUCCACUAACACAUUUAAAAAAAUAGGAAAAGUGAUGGGAAGAGGAAAUAAAUUCAAAAGUUAUGUUAAUACCUUUAUUAAGGUACCAAAAAAUUAAACUACAUUGAUGAAUGUGUUCCAAAAAUUUAUGCUAGGGAAAAGCCGGAUACAAAACACCAUACAUUGUAUGGUUCCUUUCAUAUUAAAUAUCUACAGUUCACAGUAACAGUAGUAAUUUCUGGUGGGUAAGGAAGAGCAGAGUGACUACAAAUAAUAGGUUCCUUUUGGGAGUGAAAAUGUUGAGGACUUUUUUAUAAACAUAGCAUUUUAAUGGGGUAACAAAGAAACUUUGAUAGUGGUGAUGGCUACACAACUCUAUUCAUUUUAUUGUUUGGAGGUUUUUAGGCCACACAGGGCUUACUCCCGACUGCUCAGGGAUUACUCGUGGUAGGCUACAGGGACUGUAUGAAAUGCUGGGGACUGAACCCAGGUUGGUCACAUGCAAGGUAAACAUCUUACCCACUAUGCAAUAAUUCUGGCCCGCAACUCUGGAUAUUCUAAGCAUACUUGUACACAACAUUCCAGAACUUAGGAGUUCUGUGAACUGGAUCCUCCAUCUCAAACAAGGAUCAAAUCUGGCCUGGGAGUCAGAAAAGCAAGUUAUACAUGCUAGUUGUCUCAAACCUUCAUGUGAUCUAGGUUUCUUUCCCUGUUAAAUUUCCCUUACAUUUCCUUAGAGGAGGUUAAGUCAGUCUCCUUAAAGGAAAUUUAACUUCUUUAUAGUGGUGCAAUUGGACAGGAGGCUGGUGUCAUAAAGUGAGGGGGAGGGGCCAGUGUUAGUACAGUGGGUAAAGGGCCUGCCUUGCAUGUAGCCAACCCAAAUUCCAUCACCAGCACGCCAUAUGGUUUCCCACGCACUGCAGGGUGUGGAUUUCCAAGUGUGAGAGGGAGCCAAUUAGUAUCUUCAUUUUUUCUAAUUUCAAUAUCACUUUCACAUACAAGAUUUCCUCAUAACCCCCUUUAGUGUAAAGAAAUGGGAGUCUCAGAGAAAUCAAAUGAUUUGCUUUCAUUCAGUGGUUGAAAUGCUGGAGCAGAGACUUGACCCCAGGCCUUUUGGUGCUAGCUAGAGCUUAUGUUCUCCCUGAACCACGUUUUCCUUAUGGCCGCUCUAAAAAUCCCAGACGGCGAUGUCUAGUAGCUUUUACCAUACACUACACAACUUUGGACAAAGCAAUGAAUGCCAAGUAUCCCGGUUUAUUAAGUUCCUUUAACUUUAUGAGCCUUUAAAUUGGCACGGCAGUAAUCUAAGCCUGCAGCAAGAAUAUGUAUACCGACAUAUUUCACUAUAUGAAGUCACUCUUCCCGAGUUUGCCUAUCUGCAGGUGUGGCUCUGGGUCUACACUCAGGGUCCCUGAAGUUUCAGUGACAUAUAAACUGAAAGGCCUAAAGGUCAAGGCUUGAACAUAGUUGUAACUAUUUAUUCCUUUCCAGACAGUACAAGGCCUGGGCAGCAGGGUAGUUUAGCCUAAGGCAGAAGUUUCUUCAGGAAAGGCCAGGUUGCUGCCCAUGCUGGCUUCAUUUUUCUCCCCCUUCCUCCCCAUUUAACAAGUAUUUCCUACAAGACAGAUGCUAUUUAGUACACUGGAAGUUAAAGCAGUGAUGAGAAAUGGCUCUGUUCAGUUGUGUUGUUUUUUUUUUGGUGGGGGGAACACAUUUUGAGCCCACACCAACAGUUCUUUGGGGUCACGCCAGGCUCUGGACCGAACAUGAGGCCCUACCCCUGUACUAUCGCAACAGUACCUCACAGCUUUUAUUUUUGCUCUGAGGACUAAUAAAUUACAUCCAAAGUUGGCUGAGUUAACAGGGAAGUGGGACAGGCUAGAAGACAGCAGGUAGGGUGCUUGCCUUGCUCGUGGCUGACCCAAGUUUGAUCCCCAACAUCACGCAUGGCCCCUCAAGCCCCAUCAGGAAUGACCUGAGCACAAGCCCAGGAAUAAGCCUAGUACAGUCAGGUGUAGCCCCAAAACAAAGUGGUGGCUAAGAGGCGCUACCACUUAGGAAGUUAGCAGGCUCUAUGAAAGAAAUCUGAGUAGAACUGAACAAGUAAGAGGAACUGCUUUAGGAACAGUCAAAUGUUAGGCCCAUAUUAGAAGACAGUAGUUCAGGGGAGGGGGAGAUGUGUUGCUCACAGCAAUAUCUAAUUCCCUACCAUGCUGGUUUGGCCUGCACACCCCAGGGGGCAUGGGGGAAUGGGGGCUGACACCUAGAUUGUUUCCUGAUUCUGUCUUGCCAUUUGCCUUUCAGUUAGGUCCAAAGGGUGAUACAGAAGGUCCCAAAGACUGGAGAACAAGAUUAAGAGGUGGUAUAUUGGUGUGCCCACCCCACCCCACCCCCUGCCUGGCAAGUCUGACACUGGCUGCAUUUCUGUCACAAUUUCCAGUGGACUUACACAGCCCCUUCUGUAAACCACCCUCCUCACUCCUAGAUGGAGGUUCAUCCUCUCCAAGAAACCUUGGCAGGAAUCCUUUUUAGAUCAGUACUUGUACACCUACCUGUGCAGUGAUGUGUCAUCACUAAAUACCACCUGGACUGCCUCUCCCCUCAGAGAUGAAAGAGGAUGAAUUUGGACCACCCAUUACAGGCAAAAUGUAGAACUCAUUCUCCAUCCCCCAGAGCCCCAGUUUUUUCAAAUUUCCCACACCACCACAAAGGCAGGAAUAAAAGCUGGAACUCUUAGCCUUGUUCCUCUAGAAGCUGGGGUUUUGGAGUUCCUGGGAUUUUCCCGCUUAGGAUCUCACUGCUCCAGAGGUAGUGAGGUAGUAUUUUCUAAGAUCCAGCCCAUAAAAUUGGGGAGGGAAGCUAAUCAACCUCCCCCAACAAUAGCUCAGUUAAAUUUAUUUGAUAGUGGAUUUAGAGCCACUAGAAAAAGCUUAUCAGUGUGACUGUCUGAAUACAAAUGUCCAUUUGAAUAUAUAUCCAAUGGAAAGAAACUUACCUAUUUCCCAUUUGCAGCUUCCUAGGCCCAAAGACACAAGCAAAAAUUUGCAAAAUGUUUGAGUGACGAAGUGACAACUGAAAUGAGUAGAACACACCUGCAUUCCUUUUUUUUUUUUUUUUUUCUUUUUGGGUCACACCCAGCAAUGCACAGGGGUUUCUCCCGGCUCAUGCACUCAGGAAUUACUCCUGGUGGUGCUUGGGGGACCAUAUGAGAUGCUGGGAAACAAACCCGGGUCGGCUGUGUGCAAGGCAAAUGCCCUACCCACUUUGCUAUCGCUCCAGCCCCCCACACUUGCAUUCUCAACACUUCCAAGGCUACAAAGUGAUAGCCCAGACACCACUGACUUAGGGCUAAGGGUGGGCAGACACUCUCAAAAGUGAACAGCUGACUUUACUCUUUUUUCAUUAUGCUGAUAGUCUCUAAUCUCAUGAAAAUCAAGAAUGAAGAGGGCUAUAAGCAUUGGCCAAAGAUAUUAAGAAGCAAAGCUCCUCUGAUCUAAGAGAGCAGCUAUAAACUGGGAGGUGGAAAUAAACUCUUGAGUGCUGGUUCUUCCCCCACUUAAGGAGUCCAAACCCUACAACUAAGGCCCAAUUCAAGCCAAUCAAAUCUCUGCUUGGUCUUUCCAUUUCAGCCCCAAAUCCUGUUUGAGCCGAGGUACCCACUACUCCCAUCCUAUGUGUAGCACCACGACCACCAGUCCAACCCUGUACCCCCAAAGAAACCCAAACAGUUCAGAAGUGCAUCAAUCGACCUUUAAUGUCCAAAAGAGGCAUGGAUGCAGAGCAUAGGAGAUGUGGAGGGGUCUCAGCCCCUGCUCCAGAAAUGAGGGAGAGAUGAACACAAACCAGACAUUUCCAACUGGCCACACAAUUCUGGGAGGGCAAGGGAAAACAAAGACUUGUACAUUCAUAAAAAAAAUAAAAAUAAAACCUAAAAUCAAACAGUCAAUCCUAUAUCCAAAGUGUUUGAUAUAGGGAACUCGUUCACCAUCCCAAUCCCCACCCUCCCCCAUCAAAGAAAAACUCAUACUUUCUCCUGCUUACCACUAACCCCAAAGAUGGAAGGAAAAGAAAUGAGCUGGAUCCCAAACCCACCCCACCCAGUGUUAACCCUACACACGAAGAGAUUUGAAGGUGAUUUACAAGAAUCAGCAGCUCAACCAGCAAUGACUAGCCCCCCAUCCCUGUUUGAUCAACAGACAAAUUUCCCCAGAAUUCUCCUUGGAAUCUCCUCCCACUAAUGGCCCUGUUACAUUUCCUGACACCUGGCUUCAUCACUCCAAGCCUGACCACCUCCAAGGUUCCUCCAAAGUCCCUCAUAACAUGUUAUCACUUCCAUCCCUACCUCUCACAAGAAGCUGCAGGCAUCCACAAAGUCACUUUCCCUCUCCACCAAGACCCAGCUCCAGGGCAGCGGGCAGCAUGGUCAUCUCAUUAUACGCUGUCCUCUAAAGGUCUUCUAGGAGCACACAGCCACAGGGCAAUCACAAUGUCUGGACCAGGUGCUGUGGGGGAUUUACCCCCAAAACAGAGAUUUUGAACAUAGAAGUCCAUUUAAAACUAACUGUGCAUCCUAUCUAUCCAAACACUCUAGAGAUUCCACUCUGUUCUGCCCACCCUCCCCCUCUACCCCAAACCAAUACAUAAACAUACACACACACACACACACUUACACACACAAAAGAAUCAAGAGAGACAUUGGUUUGGUUUGAUUGCUAAGACUUAACUAAAGAACUAUAGUCAUCAGAAAUUCCCUUGCCAGUCAACUAGCAGGGGCUGCUUUAAGAGAACUCCAGAGGAAUGAGAAAACCGAGGGCUAAGCAGGAGCAGACAGGAGAGAAGAGA